rnacentral:lncRNA from 1 species
ACGAACCAAGCAGCAAAAUCCCAUAAUUGUUCAAUCCUCAAGUUCAGUCAUAGAAUUCAAACCUGAUUCCUCUCUUUUCUGAGUAGAUAACAAAAAGACAAGAGAAAAGAAGAGGAAAAUCAAAAUAUUUUUCUACUGCAUGUUAAAACCACUUCUAAAACAGAGAAAAUCUAUCUCAAUUGAAGCUAUAAUUCUGAAAGCAGAACCUUCUCGAUCGACAAUACAGAUUCAAUUUCUGAAAGUCCAGAAAGAAAACCCAUUAAAGAGGGAAUUGAUCUCUAUAUAUCAAUAGAGAAAACAAAAUUCACUUCUUUUCUACAAAUACAGAAUAAAUAUCAGUAAUCCAGAUACAAUUCAGUCUUUUAAAAUCCAGAAAACCCCAUUAAAGAGGAAAUUGAUCUAAAAACCAUGUUAAAAAUCCUUUCUUUUCUGCUAUAUCCCAACUCCACGGAGAUAGCAACCAUGAAAGUCAAACAUCCCUUAAAUCCAAAAAUGGAAAAAAGUUACGAACAAGGAAAAGAAGAGCCCAAAAACCUAAAAAAGUACAAAAACAUGAUGCAUGCACUCCCAACAAAACAAGAAAAGUGAGGUAAUAGGGGCUACCCCAAGUGGGGUUUGUGGGGGUGUGGUUAGGGAUGAGUAAGGAAGAAGAAGAAGGUUUAAUAUAAAAAAAAUAAAAAUAAAAUAAAAAAAUCUCACCUUUGAGUUGUGUUGGAGCAAAGUGAAACUCAAAAUUCGUAAUGGACAAUAAGGAUGACUCCAAAAUAUGAAAAAGAAUAAAAUUUUGAGAGAGAGAAAAAGGGCAAAACGGAAGAUGAACUUUGCAUGGAAGGGACGAAUGAAGAAAAGGGAAUUCAGAACUCGUAAAGCGAAAGCAAAACUG